rnacentral:rRNA from 1 species
CCUACGGGCGGCAGCAGUGAGGAAUAUUGGUCAAUGGGCGCGAGCCUGAACCAGCCAAGUCGCGUGUGUGAAGACGGUCCUAUGGAUUGUAAACCUCUUUUGUCGGGGAGCAAAAGACGCCACGCGUGGCGUUCCGAGAGUACCCGAAGAAAAAGCAUAGGCUAACUCCGUGCCAGCAGCCGCGGUAAUACGGAGGAGGCGAGCGUUAUCCGGAUUUAUUGGGUUUAACGGGUGCGCAGGCGGAAGAUCAAGUCAGCGGGAAAAUUGAGAGGCUCAACCUGUUCGAGCCGUUGAAACUGGUUAUCUUGAGUGAGCGAGAAGUGUGCGGAAUGCGUGGUGUAGCGGUGAAAUGCAUAGAUAUCACGCAGAACUCCGAUUGCGAAGGCAGCAUACCGGCGCUCAACUGACGCUCAUGCACGAAAGUGUGGGUAUCGAACAGGAUUAGAUACCCCUGUAGUC